GGAUCGUUAGCUCAGUUGGUUUAGAGUAUCGCCUCGACAAGGCGAGGGUCGUCAGUUCGAGCCUGACACGAUCCA
rnacentral:tRNA from 1 species